GGCUCAGGAUGAACGCUAGCGGCAGGCCUAACACAUGCAAGUCGAGGGCAGCACGAAUUAGCUUGCUAAGUUUGGUGGCGACCGGCGCACGGGUGCGUAACGCGUAUGCAACCUACCUUAUACAGGAGUAUAGCCCGGAGAAAUUCGGAUUUAAUCCUCCAUGGUACUGAGACACCGCAUGGUGAUUCAGUUAAAGCUUCGGCGGUAUAAGAUGGGCAUGCGUCCUAUUAGCUAGAUGGUAAGGUAACGGCUUACCAUGGCUACGAUAGGUAGGGGGCCUGAGAGGGUGGUCCCCCACACUGGUACUGAGACACGGACCAGACUCCUACGGGAGGCAGCAGUGAGGAAUAUUGGUCAAUGGGCGCAAGCCUGAACCAGCCAUGCCGCGUGCAGGAAGAAUGCCCUAUGGGUUGUAAACUGCUUUUAUUUGGGAAUAAACCUUUCUACGUGUAGGAAGCUGAAGGUACCAAAUGAAUAAGCACCGGCUAACUCCGUG
rnacentral:rRNA from 1 species